rnacentral:rRNA from 1 species
GUAGGUGGCAAGCGUUGUCCGGAAUUAUUGGGCGUAAAGCGCGCGCAGGCGGUUCUUUAAGUCUGAUGUGAAAGCCCACGGCUCAACCGUGGAGGGUCAUUGGAAACUGGAGAACUUGAGUACAGAAGAGGAAAGCGGAAUUCCACGUGUAGCGGUGAAAUGCGUAGAGAUGUGGAGGAACGCCAGUGGCGAAGGCGGCUUUCUGGUCUGUAACUGACGCUGAGGCGCGAAAGCGUGGGGGGGGGCAAACAGGAUUAGAUACCCUGGUAGUCCACGCCGUAAACGAUGAGUGCUAAGUGUUAGGGGGUUUCCGCCCCCCUUAGUGCUGCAGCUAACGCAUUAAGCACUCCGCCUGGGAGUACGGCCGCAAGGCUG